GUGCUCGCUUCAGCAGCACAUAUACUAAAAUUGUAACGAUACAGAGAUUAGCAUGGCCCCUGCGCAAGGAUGAUGUGCAAAUUCAUGAUGCGUUCCAUAUUUUA